rnacentral:rRNA from 1 species
GAUGAACGCUGGCGGCGUGCUUAACACAUGCAAGUCGAACGAUGAAGCCCAGCUUGCUGGGUGGAUUAGUGGCGAACGGGUGAGUAACACGUGAGUAACCUGCCCUUGACUCUGGGAUAAGCCUGGGAAACUGGGUCUAAUACUGGAUAUGACUUCUCAUCGCAUGGCGGGGGGUGGAAAGAUUUAUUGGUCUUGGAUGGACUCGCGGCCUAUCAGCUUGUUGGUGAGGUAAUGGCUCACCAAGGCGACGACGGGUAGCCGGCCUGAGAGGGUGACCGGCCACACUGGGACUGAGACACGGCCCAGACUCCUACGGGAGGCAGCAGUGGGGAAUAUUGCACAAUGGGCGCAAGCCUGAUGCAGCGACGCCGCGUGAGGGAUGACGGCCUUCGGGUUGUAAACCUCUUUCAGUAGGGAAGAAGCGAGAGUGACGGUACCUGCAGAAGAAGCGCCGGCUAACUACGUG